GAUGAACGCUGGCGGCGUGCCUAAUACAUGCAAGUCGAGCGAACGGACGAGAAGCUUGCUUCUCUGAUGUUAGCGGCGGACGGGUGAGUAACACGUGGAUAACCUACCUAUAAGACUGGGAUAACUUCGGGAAACCGGAGCUAAUACCGGAUAAUAUUUUGAACCGCAUGGUUCAAAAGUGAAAGACGGUCUUGCUGUCACUUAUAGAUGGAUCCGCGCUGCAUUAGCUAGUUGGUAAGGUAACGGCUUACCAAGGCAACGAUGCAUAGCCGACCUGAGAGGGUGAUCGGCCACACUGGAACUGAGACACGGUCCAGACUCCUACGGGAGGCAGCAGUAGGGAAUCUUCCGCAAUGGGCGAAAGCCUGACGGAGCAACGCCGCGUGAGUGAUGAAGGUCUUCGGAUCGUAAAACUCUGUUAUUAGGGAAGAACAUAUGUGUAAGUAACUGUGCACAUCUUGACGGUACCUAAUCAGAAAGCCACGGCUAACUACGUGCCAGCAGCCGCGGUAAUACGUAGGUGGCAAGCGUUAUCCGGAAUUAUUGGGCGUAAAGCGCGCGUAGGCGGUUUUUUAAGUCUGAUGUGAAAGCCCACGGCUCAACCGUGGAGGGUCAUUGGAAACUGGAAAACUUGAGUGCAGAAGAGGAAAGUGGAAUUCCAUGUGUAGCGGUGAAAUGCGCAGAGAUAUGGAGGAACACCAGUGGCGAAGGCGACUUUCUGGUCUGUAACUGACGCUGAUGUGCGAAAGCGUGGGGAUCAAACAGGAUUAGAUACCCUGGUAGUCCACGCCGUAAACGAUGAGUGCUAAGUGUUAGGGGGUUUCCGCCCCUUAGUGCUGCAGCUAACGCAUUAAGCACUCCGCCUGGGGAGUACGACCGCAAGGUUGAAACUCAAAGGAAUUGACGGGGACCCGCACAAGCGGUGGAGCAUGUGGUUUAAUUCGAAGCAACGCGAAGAACCUUACCAAAUCUUGACAUCCUUUGACAACUCUAGAGAUAGAGCCUUCCCCUUCGGGGGACAAAGUGACAGGUGGUGCAUGGUUGUCGUCAGCUCGUGUCGUGAGAUGUUGGGUUAAGUCCCGCAACGAGCGCAACCCUUAAGCUUAGUUGCCAUCAUUAAGUUGGGCACUCUAAGUUGACUGCCGGUGACAAACCGGAGGAAGGUGGGGAUGACGUCAAAUCAUCAUGCCCCUUAUGAUUUGGGCUACACACGUGCUACAAUGGACAAUACAAAGGGCAGCGAAACCGCGAGGUCAAGCAAAUCCCAUAAAGUUGUUCUCAGUUCGGAUUGUAGUCUGCAACUCGACUACAUGAAGCUGGAAUCGCUAGUAAUCGUAGAUCAGCAUACUACGGUGAAUACGUUCCCGGGUCU
rnacentral:rRNA from 1 species